rnacentral:rRNA from 1 species
GAUUAUAAUAAAAAGUBGGACCUGCUCCAUGAGGUAAAACUUAAAUAGCUGCAGAAUUUUAACUGUACAAAGGUAGCAUAAUCAAUAGUUUUUUAAUUAAAAGCUAGAAUGAAAGGUCUGAUAAGGUAGAUAUUGUCUCAAUUUUAAUAUAUUAAAAUUUUAUUAUUUGUAAAAAAUCAAAUUUGAGUUUAAAAGACGAGAAGACCCUAUAGAAUUUUAUAUAAAUUUAUUAAAAAAAUUUAAAUAAAUUAAUAAUUUUUAAUAAAAAUAUAUUUGGUUGGGGAAAUUAUUAAAUUAAAUUAAUUUUAAUUUUUUUUUAACAAUAAUUUUUGAUUAAUUGAUCCUAAUUUUUGGAAAAUAAGAAUAAAUUACCUUAGGGAUAACAGCGUAAUUUUUUUAGAGAGACCUAAUUGAUAAAAAAGUUUGCGACCUCGAUGUUGAAUUAAGAUAAAAUUUUAAUGCAGGAGUUAAAAAUUUUUGGUCUGUUCGACCAUUAAAAUCUUACGUGA